CCUACGGGUGGCAGCAGUGAGGAAUAUUGGUCAAUGGACGAGAGUCUGAACCAGCCAAGUAGCGUGAAGGAUGACUGCCCUAUGGGUUGUAAACUUCUUUUAUAUGGGAAUAAAACGUUCCACGUGUGGGAUUUUGUAUGUACCAUAUGAAUAAGGAUAGGCUAACUCCGUUCCAGCAGCCGCGGUAAUACGGAGGAUCCGAGCGUUAUCCGGAAUUAUUGGGUUUAAAGGGAACGUAGGUGGAUUGUUAAGUCAGUUGUGAAAGUUUGCGGGUCAACCGUAAAAUUGCAGUUGAAACUGGCAGUCUUGAGUACAGUAGAGGUGGGCGGAAUUCGUGGUGUAGCGGUGAAAUGCUUAGAUAUCACGAAGAACUCCGAUUGCGAAGGCAGUUCACUGGACUGCAACUGACACUGAGGCUCGAAAGUGUGGGUAUCAAACAGGAUUAGAUACCCGUGUAGUC
rnacentral:rRNA from 1 species